UCAUCUCCCAUGUGUAUCUGUGCACGCCCAGGUGUGUCAUCUCCCAUGUGUAUCUGUGCACGCCCAGGUGUGUCACCUCCCAGGUGUAUCUGUGCACGCCCAGGUGUGUCAUCUCCUAUGUGUAUCUGUGCACGCCCAGGUGUGUCAUCUCCCAGGUGUAUCUGUGCACGCCCAGGUGUGUCAUCUCCCAUGUGUAUCUGUGCACGCCCAGGUGUGUCACCUCCCAGGUGUAUCUGUGCACGCCCAGGUGUGUCAUCUCCUAUGUGUAUCUGUGCACGCCCAGGUGUGUCAUCUCCCAGGUGUAUCUGUGCACGCCCAGGUGUGUCAUCUCCCUGCUGUGUCGUGACCUCGUCUAGCCUGCCUGCCUUCUCUCUGCGCUCACCUCCCUGGUGUGAUUGUGACCUCUAUCUAGGUCACGUGAUGUACACACAGACAGGUCACGUGUGGUACACACAGACAGGUCACGUGAGGUACACAGACAGGUCACGUGUGGUACACAUAGACAGUUUGUACCCGGUUAUCCAAGCCUUGCUGUUGAUGACGUCAUUUCUGUACUUUUUUUUCCUCUACAGUGUUUUUCUGUCAAGUGUGAACUCUCUCAAUGUGUUCGCGAACACAACACGUUUAUUGUACAUAGUUAUUAUAUAAAUUCUAUCCAUGUUCUUGAAAGAUAUAUAUAUAUAUAUAUAUAUAUAGAUCUAUAUAUAUACGUUUUAACAUUCACAAAGUUGCCAUAGUAACUGAUACUGCUCAAAUAUGUGUCAUCGAAGAGUGCAUUAUAGAGAAGUUUUUUUGUUGUUGCUGUUGUUUGUGUUGUUGUUGCUGUUGUUGUUAGAGACGUUUUUAUUGUUUGUGUUGCUGUUGUUUGUGUUGCUAGAGACUUAUUUAUUGUUUGUUUUGCUUUUGCUCUUGUUGUUAGAGACUUUUAUUAUUUGUGUUGGUAUUGUUUUUGCUACUGAUGGUGACGAUAGUGGUAGGGUUUGUGGUUGUGAUGGUGGUUGUUUUGUGAAAGAUAAUGAUUGGCUCAGGCGUUGUCUGUUUUGUGAAAGAUAAUGAUUGGCUCAGGCGUUGUCUGUUUUGUGAAAGAUAAUGAUUGGUUCAUGCGUUGUCUGUUUUGUGAAAGAUAAUGAUUGGUUCAGGCGUUUUCUGUUUGAUUAGGUCGUGGAAUAAAGCUGUGUCGGGCUCGUUGGUUCCCAACUUGUGGCUGCAGACGAUGCGUGGGU